rnacentral:rRNA from 1 species
GAUGAACGCUGGCGGCGUGCCUAAUACAUGCAAGUCGAGCGAACAGACGAGGAGCUUGCUCCUCUGACGUUAGCGGCGGACGGGUGAGUAACACGUGGAUAACCUACCUAUAAGACUGGGAUAACUUCGGGAAACCGGAGCUAAUACCGGAUAAUAUAUUGAACCGCAUGGUUCAAUAGUGAAAGACGGUUUUGCUGUCACUUAUAGAUGGAUCCGCGCCGCAUUAGCUAGUUGGUAAGGUAACGGCUUACCAAGGCAACGAUGCGUAGCCGACCUGAGAGGGUGGUCGGCCACACUGGGACUGAGACACGGUCCAUACUCCUACGGGAGGCAGCAGUAGGGAAUCUUCCGCAAUGGGCGAAAGCCUGACGGAGCAACGCCGCGUGAGUGAUGAAGGUCUUCGGAUCGUAAAACUCUGUUAUUAGGGAAGAACAAAUGUGUAAGUAACUAUGCACGUCUUGACGGUACCUAAUCAGAAAGCCACGGCUAACUACGUG